CGAAGCACUUUAUUUGAUCUCCUUCGGGACUGAUUAUUUUGUGACUGAGUGGCGGACGGGUGAGUAACGCGUGGGUAACCUGCCUUGUACAGGGGGAUAACAGUUGGAAACGGCUGCUAAUACCGCAUAAGCGCACGGCAUCGCAUGAUGCAGUGUGAAAAACUCCGGUGGUAUAAGAUGGACCCGCGUUGGAUUAGCUAGUUGGUGAGGUAACGGCCCACCAAGGCGACGAUCCAUAGCCGACCUGAGAGGGUGACCGGCCACAUUGGGACUGAGACACGGCCCAAACUCCUACGGGAGGCAGCAGUGGGGAAUAUUGCACAAUGGGCGAAAGCCUGAUGCAGCGACGCCGCGUGAGCGAAAAAGUAUUUCGGUAUGUAAAGCUCUAUCAGCAGGGAAGAUAAUGACGGUACCUGACUAAGAGGCACCGGCUAAAUACGUGCCAGCAGCCGCGGUAAUACGUAUGGUGCAAGCGUUAUCCGGAUUUACUGGGUGUAAAGGGAGCGCAGGCGGUGCGGCAAGUCUGAUGUGAAAGCCCGGGGCUCAACCCCGGUACUGCAUUGGAAACUGUCGUACUAGAGUGUCGGAGGGGUAAGCGGAAUUCCUAGUGUAGCGGUGAAAUGCGUAGAUAUUAGGAGGAACACCAGUGGCGAAGGCGGCUUACUGGACGAUAACUGACGCUGAGGCUCGAAAGCGUGGGGAGCAAACAGGAUUAGAUACCCUGGUAGUCCACGCCG
rnacentral:rRNA from 1 species